UGGGCAAUUCUGCUGGCGGUCAACGUCUCCGGCUCGAUCGCCGAAAGAAGAGGAGAUUCAUCAGUAAUAAGUCUUCGCGGCGACCACAUUUUCAUUGGGACCAUACCGUACUAGACUAUUUUCUAUGUGUUCAGAGAUGAUGUCAGUGCACUCCUGCUGUCAACAUCGACGGCUCUCUUUUUUCCCCCUAUAAUACGCAGGAGAGCUGGCAAUCUUCGCGAUCCUACGGAGCCAGCCGGACACAAGGCGCUUGCUCUCCUCGGCGGAGGUGGGUCAAGGCCGCGCCGCAGACACUGCCGGCUCGCCAUUGUUGAGGUCCAUGUCCGCUGCCUCCGUCUUCCUCCUCUAGUCCUCAUCGGCGACCUCGCAUCCGUCUCCGGGUACCUGUACGUACGCUCCAUUUUGCUCACAAGAUUACCUGACGCGCGCAACCUGUUCGUGAGAAUGUGCUUCCAGCCAAAACUGUUGGAAUUUCGUCCUCUUUUACUUUUUUUUUGAAUUUCUUAGUGUUCUACAUUUGCUUCUAGUACUAGUAUCCUAGAUUUUGUCUCAAUAUGUGGAGUAUUUUUAUAUGUUAAAAUUAAUUCUUUUAACAAUGUCUUGCUUGAAUGGUAAGGAAUUAAUCUGAGAA